UGUGACUAUAAAAGCUUGCUAAAUUUGAAGUGGCUUUUCUUGAGCAAGUCCUAAAUUUGUUAAAUCAACAGAAAUAGUUGUGGCAGAAAAUAUCAAAGAACCAAUGAUAUGGCUCCACGUUUUCCAAAGAAAUUAUACGUAGAUGGAGAAGGUGGUCCCACAAAGCCAUGGAAAUCGUCACUUCAUUACGGUUAAAAUUUGAUCAUCACUCACGGUAAGCGUCAUUUCCUGUUCCUCACUCUUCCAAUACACAAACUCAAUCAACACUCAAAUCUGCUUGAGGAGCUCAUCUUUGGAGUAGUGGUGCUCGCUUCAAUCAGCUUCAUCAACAAGUAAGUUACGGCUCCAUUUCUCUUUGAACUCGCCAAAUUUUGCUUAAUUGCUUCAUAGAUGAUAUAUUUAAGUUUGAAAUUGAGGUUAGGGUUUCUACAGUUGCAUUGAAGAAUCGCCUUCGCUAAGCUAAUUAUUUUUGCUCCUACAUUUCGGUUUUUGCUUGAUGAAGUUCUAAUCAUGGAUAUUUUGCGUAUCUUCUCUUUUAGUUUGUGAAACUAUUUUUUACUGGAUGUUUGUGUGUGUCGGUGUGUGUAUGUAUUAGUCAUGGAAAGAUACAUCUCUCAUUUUGAUAAUUCUAGUUGUUUGAUCAAUGAUAAAUUAGUUCCGGAUGACGAUAACACAGCUUUUCUGAUAAUGAAUAAGAUGAAGAAUAAUCUAGAAGCAACUAAAGUUGUCUCUGAAACUAUGUUGGCUAACUAUGUAAGAGAUAACGAAGGAGAUGUAAUGGAAGAAGAUGUUAGGGGUAACAAUGAAGAUACUGCUGUUAUAGACAAAGAUAACAAAAGAGACUCACUUGGUAAAGAUGAAUAUGAAGGAAAUGACGAAAAAAAGAAUAUAGAAAAAUUGGAAGCUAUUACAAAUCAAAAGACCAAAAAAUCUAUGAAAGGAAUACACGGAAGAGAGAGUCAAAUGAAAACCCUGAAGGGAAGGGUGAAAUUAAGCAGGUUCUGAAGAAAGUAGCCUCUGAAGGCAAGGUUAAUGAGUACUGUGGAAACUUGGCGCCCAAAGGUGACAAUGAUCAGUAUUCUAAGGGAACAGAAAUGGGAAAUUUGGUCUCCACAUGUGAUGAUGAAAGCUCUAAGAAGGUAACCCCUGGAAAUGAAGCUACCUGAGAAAUUGUCUAGUGAAGGCAGAGAUAUUCCUGAGCAGGUUGAUAGCACGGGUAUGAUAUUCAUGUGCAAUUCUGAGACAAAGAAGGAAUGCUAUUGAUACAAGGUUAUGGGACUCCCAGCAAACAAGAGAGAGAUGGUUGAAAAAGUUUAUAAAGGGAUGAAACUCUUUCUAUGUGACGUUGAUUUGAAAUUGAUGUAUGGUAUCUACAAAGCUGCAGAAAAUGGCAGUUUUAGCAUUGAACCCAAGGCAUUUAAGUCUCGAUUCCCAUCCCAGGUAUGUUAGUUGUGCUAUGAGUUUCUUUGUAUCUCACCUUUUACUGCUUUAUGAUUUUUUUGCUUUGAAGAACGUUGCUAGUCGUAAAAUGCAAAAGUAAAGUUGGUUUUGACCAAUAACUGAAAUGAGCUAACAACAUCUCUGGGAUCUGUAGAGGAUGAGCUAUAAGACCUCAAUACAUUAUCAACAAGGGUUAACAUUUAGCUGCUGUGUUUUCCCACCUGUUCCAAUUCUGAGCAAAAUCCCUCCUUCCUUGUCUUUUGUCUCUGGUGUUCUCCGCCUUGGACUAAUGAUUGUUUUCCUGACUGAUGGGAAGAGGGGUAAUUGAGGGAAGUUGAGAGUUCCUGAGAAGGGAUUUCGCACGAUAAAAUUUGUUGACAUUGUUACUUCACAAAAUUAGUCAUGAAGAUAAAGUUACAGUCAAUUUUUGUUGAGGUACUGUAUUUUUUUUCAGUAGGCUGUGACUUAUAAUAUCUGUUGAUUUCCUACGCGAGAACAGUGAGAGGAGGUAAAUUUCAGCAUCUAUGUAUGCUUUGUAAACACUUGACGAGGGAACGUCUUAAAUGGUUUUCAAUGUUUGAUGCUCAGGUCUGCGAUGGUUUGUUAGUGAAUAGUAACUAUUUGUAUGGACCUUUGAUUCUUUUUCUAUACAAAAAAAUAAUAAUUUAUGCUAUAGGCAGUUAGGCACAAAGCCAACGAAGGAAAGAUAAUAAGCUGAAUUUGAUUGGUUAGAAAUGCUGAACUUCUUCCAUUUUUUUUUAAGAAGGGGGGAUAUUAAAUUUGGUUGUGGAGCCUGCAUUUUAUAUCAUAGAACAUACGAGGAGACCUAAUUUACAUGCAGUUUAAUUUAACUGCAGAAUGGCUCAGAAGAGACAGGUUGAUUGAUGAGGAACACUUUUGAUUCUUGGAUCCUAAAUAUCUUUCUUUGAGUUUGUUGUUCAAGUUAUAAUAGCUAUUUAUGUCACUAGAAUUGGUGCUAUUAAUAGUCAAAGCAAGUAUAAUUUGCUUCCAGUUUAGCACUAUGACUUCAAAUUAGAGAUGGAUGCUUUUAUUUUCUUGAUAGGUAAAUAUUGUAAAACUAUAGUGAAGGCAUCAAAAAGGGCCACCUGUUGUAUGCAAACAAACAAAAAAGGAGUAGAAUUCAAACUUCUUAGAUGAAGCAUGUACAUAAGUUGUUAGCAUAUGAGUGACACUUAGGGGCUUCUCUUUUGUUAUAUUUUGUGUGUGUAUUUUGAUAUUGGGGUGAAAGGUGGGGAGACUAGGAGUACGAUGGAUGGGAUUUACGGAGUUAUCUUUCAUUUUGUUUCUUUGGAUUGGAAUACUUUGUCGAGUAAGGGCUGGUGGUGGUUUUGGGUUCUAGAAUUGUAUUGGUGCUUAUGUUUAGUGCAGUUCAUGGAUAUGAUCUUUUGAAUGCCCUCUUUGUCUUAACUAUAUGUUUGAUGAUUCGGGUCUGUUUUUCCAUUGUUGAUGAUUGCUUACCAUUAGUAGAGGAGAAAUUUAGGGAAGUAAUUCAAACAAACUAUUACACGAAGACAAAGUUUAAUUGUAAAUUGACCUCUGAACAGGUAUCUGCACAUUGUAUUUGCAUUUAUUGGAAAUCCUUAGAUUUGUUUGGAUGGUGAUAAUAUUUAUGUUUCCUGGUGGAUCAUGCCAACAUUUUUUGUGUAUUUGUUGCAAAUCAAUUGGUGAAGAAUUUGUGUAGGCUUUUCAUUUCUGCUAGCAAAGCGUCGGGUGUACAACUCAAAUCAGAGACCAGUACUAUGGACAAGACAAGUUUAACUAAGGGGCGGCGCAUGGAUAAAAGUAGACAGCCUGAACAUGUUCGACAAACUAAGUGGAUGGAAGAGCCUAGGUACCACUCACAUCCACAUCUGCUGAAAAGCGAUGUAGUUACAACUCCAUUGCUGCCAUUAGCUUGGCCUCAAAAUUCACAACCACUUCCUGCUGGUCAAUCACAUAACAAAGCUUUGGAAAACAGUGUUUAUGGAUGUGACACAAUGACACAUAAUCGUGAUACUUCCAGAGAGGGACGACUGGUGGAGCCUCACGGUUCUUAUAGGCGGACAAACUGCUAAAUCCUGAUAUUUACAGAGGAGAGACUCUAGCAGAGCAUUAUGACUAUCCCAGAUAGGAUGCAUUAGUAGAGCUUCACGAAUAUCAGCUAGUAAAUGUGGAAGCAGGACUCCAGGAUGUUGUAAACCAUCAUCCCUAUGCUUUAUACUCUGCGAAUUUGUCCUCCCAAGGUCCUGUGUACUCGCCACAUCCCACGUAUAAUCCUCCACCAGGCUUACGACCUGAGUAUCGUCUUGGUAGCCUAGUAAGUGAGUACAGUUCUACCAGCGGCAUGCCCCUGAGUACCAAUCAUCUCCAAACCCUCUGUCCGCGUUCGAUUAUCAUCAACCCGUAUACUCUCAAGAUCCUGUGUACUCGCCACAUCCCACGUAUAAUCCUCCAUCAGGCUUACGACCUGAAUACCAUCUUGGUAGCCUAUUAAGUGAGUACAGUUCUACCAGAGGCAUGCCUCUUGAAUGUCUCCAAAUUCUCUGCCCGUGUUCCAUUAUCAUCAACCCGUAUACUCCCAAGAUCCUGUGUACUCACCACAUCCCACGUAUAAUCCUCCACCAGGCUUACGACUUGAAUACCGUCUUGGUAGCCUAUUAAGUGAGUACAGUUCUACCAGAGGCAUGCCUCAUGAGUGUUAUUCAUCUCCAAACUCUCUGCCCGCUUUCCAUUAUCAUCAACCCGUAUACUCCCAAGAUUCUGUGUACACACCACAUCCCACGUAUAAUCCACCAUUAGGCUUACGACCUGAAUACCGUCUUGGUAGCCUAUUAAGUGAGUACAGUUCUACCAGAGGAAUUCCUCAUGAGUACCAUUAAUCUCCAAACUCUAUGCCCGCGUUCAAUUAUCAUCAAUCUGUAUGCUCCCAAGAUCCUGUGUACUCGCCACAUCCCACAUAUAAUCCUCCACCAGGCUAACGACCUGAUACUAUUUGGUAGCCUAUUAUGUGAGUACAGUUCUACCAGUCAUGCUUCCUGAGUACCAUUCAUCUCCAAACUCUCUGCCCCCGUUCCAUUGUCAUCAACUCGUAUACCGAUAUUAGGUUCCGUCAAAGGUAUGGUAACUCUUCCCACUAGAAUUCAGCUUGAAUGUUUGACUAUUUAGUGAUUCAAUCUUUACGUGUUUCUGUAAUACUGAUAGUUUACUGUGUAGUUUGAGCAAAAUUUCAUCAGAUGGUAGCCCUUUGUUUUCCAAAAGUUCUGUUGCCAUCACUUUUGCAGAGUAGACAUCCGUUCAGACAGGAUUUUACAGCUUGUUCUAUAAACCCGUGAAAUUUACAAGAUGGAUCCUGAAUUACAUGAUCGUGACUCAAGCUGAGCUUAGCAAAGGUAGAUGAACUCAACUCUUGGCAAACUGAAGGUACAUGAACUCAACUGUCUCACCAAAUGAGAGAUCAUUGUUCUAUUUUGAUUGACAUUAUUGCCACAGAUGCUUGAGGAUAUUUCAUGGAUGAAGCUUCAUUUGCUCAAAUCUUUCAGUAGUAUCUUAUACUUUUGACUAGUCUUCCUUUGACAUGGUGAUAACAGACAGUUAAGGCACUGCUACAAAAAUUGUGGUCUAGGCCUCACAAUAAAGAGAAUAAUGAUGACUAAACGAGGUCUAGGCCUCACAAUACAGGGAAUAAUGAUGACUAAACGAGGUGUAAGCCUCAGUUCAUCAGUCUGCAAUCUUAACAAGAUAGGAGUAACAAAAACCCUUCUCACUCUAGCUACUCAUGCACUUAAAAAAUUAUUGUAAAUUGUUAAUCAAGAGGUAGUUUGUUUCUCAAAUUGUAUAGUAACACAUCUAUUAAUUGGUUGGUAGUCUUCUGCCUUGAGAAAACAACCAGAGACAAAUAACUUGAUUUGAUUAUCCAUGUACGAACAGUUCCUAUUUCAACAGAGUAAAUUACCAUUAUGUCAGUCUAAUAA